UCUGGCCCAGAUGAAGUGUCAGCCACACUAACUAAACUGAAGGCUGGCUUGAACUAUGCUCUGCUGUCUCCUUGCCCUUCUCCUGGGCACUUUCUUGGGUGUCAGAACUCAGACCAUCCAUCAAUGGCCACCUACCAAGAUGCAGCUUGUGGACAGCCCACUUUCCCUGGAGUGCACCGUGAAGGGGACAUCUAACCCCACCCUAUACUGGUACCGGCAAGCUGCAGGGGGUGCCCUCCAGCUACUCUUCUACUCCUUUGGCAUUAACCAGAUAGAGCCAAAGGCACUCCAGAACUUCGCAGCCUCCGGGACCCAGGACGACCAGUUUGUCCUGACUUCUAAGAAGCUCCUCCUUAAUGACUCUGGCUUCUACCUCUGUGCCUGGAGUCUCACACUGGUCUGGAUGGGACAGAAAAUGUCCAUCCCACAGACCUCACUGGCCUUAGCAGCAGGCGAUGACACUUAG